rnacentral:misc_RNA from 1 species
GAUUAAGAACGCAGCGAAAUGCGAUAAGUAAUGCGAAUUGCAGAAUUCCAGUGAGUCAUCGAAUCUUUGAACGCACAUUGCGCCCUUUGGCAUUCCGAGGGGCAUGCCUGUUCGAGCGUCAUUACACCCCUCAAAUCCUCUUUACUGGAUUUGGCGUUGGGCGAGGCCUUCGCGGGCCCGUCUCAAACCGAAUGACGGUUCUCAACCAACCUCGGGCGUACAAGUAUCGCAACGAUGGGCGGGCGAGACCGGUCGACUUUUCUCAUUUUCUGAAUGUUGACCUCGGAUCAGGUAGGGAUACCCGCUGAACUUAAGCAUAUCAAUAAGCGGAGGA